rnacentral:misc_RNA from 1 species
GAAAUGCGAUGAGUAAUGUGAAUUGCAGAAUUCAGUGAAUCAUCGAAUCUUUGAACGCACAUUGCGCCCGCCAGUAUUCUGGCGGGCAUGCCUGUUCGAGCGUCAUUUCAACCAUCAAGCCCCCGGCUUGUGUUGGGGACCUGCGGCUGCCCGCAGGCCCUGAAAAACAGUGGCGGGCUCGCUGUCACACCGAGCGUAGUAGCAUACAUUCUCGCUCAGGGCGUGCUGCGGGUUCCGGCCGUUAAACGACCUUCAUAACCCAAGGUUGACCUCGGAUCAGGUAGGAAGACCCGCUGAACUUAAGC